UCUGAGUGAAUGACAUCAAGGAAACAGGAUCAAAAGAUCAUUCAUUAUAGACCGUUUCAUAGUUGGUUAUAUUUUUCAGGUCAUUCUGUUCUCCUGGUUGUGAGGAUGUGCAGAGGCUGUAUUUGUCAGUGUUAAAAGACUAUCCAGACAUACAAGCAGCCGACAAAGAGUUCUGGAGCAGGACAGACAGUUGGCCUUUAUUCUGUUUUUCUAUGUUCUUGGAAAUGCUUCUGUGCAUGAAAAUGUGACGAUAUAUCCAGGUACUAUAGUUAAUUCUGAAAUAAAUCUUAAAAUGAAACAAUAUUUAAAAAUGCAAUAUUUAAUGUGUCAGACACUAAAUAAACAUGUCAAUUCAUUUAUAUUAAU